ACCUGGGUGGCUCAGUGGUUGAGCAUCUGCCUUUAGUUCAGAUUGUGAUCCUGGGGUCUUGGGAUCAAGUCCCGCAUUGGGUU
rfam:Canis lupus familiaris chromosome X, whole genome shotgun sequence.